AGUCUCUCCCACUGCCCGGGUAUCUCCUUGAGGGCCAAGAUCCCCCCCUCAUUCAUCCUGACACUCCCAGGGCCCAGCCUGGCAGCCCUACGACAGGAGUCCAAUAAAUGUGUGUGGGUGAAAUGAAAGCCAAUCCUGAGAGACGUCACAGCAAUCUCCCCUGGACCCUGGGCCCAGGCCGAGACCCGUCCAAGGCCAGAGGCUGUCGUCAGCACACCCUCCCCUCCCCCAUACCUACCGGGACCAUGCAGGUGUGCUUGGGCAAGGCGCCCCCUCCGCAGGCCUGGUGCCUCAGGGCUAACAUGGAUAACUAUGGGCUCUGCUCCAAGGUGGUUAUGAAGACCAAGUGAGGCAAAACACACCCCACGCAGAACCUCGACACCAAUGAGGGGAGCCCCCUCCAAUGGCAGCAAGGGGUUGGGGUUCACUCUGGAUCCCCGCCCCAUCCAGCAGGUACCCACCUCCAUCGUGUAUGUCUUGCCAGCACCCGUCUGGCCGUAGGCGAAGAUGCAGACGUUGAAGCCGUCGAUGCAGGAGGUGAUCAGGGCCUGCACCUCCUGGAACACCUGCAGAGGGGACGUGGGAUGGAGGGUGGGUCCAGGGGCCCCCACCAGCCACCUCCCCCUGACUGCUCCCCUCCCCUAAUACGGCACCUGUCAUCGUGGGCAACCAGCUCACUGUGGAGGAAUCUGUGACUAAUAAGUCACUUCCACUAGGCGUUAGUGGGCAGCCUCAUUGCCGAAAGACUGAAGGCAAGUCAGGGCAGUAAUUACUGCCCACCAGCACCUGAGGAAGGGGCCACCCAGCCCAGGAACUCAGGAGCCCUCCCCCAGCUUCUCCCCCUCUCAAGAGGUGAAAAGAGAGGGACCGUGGGGCACUGGGCUUCUCCAUCCUGUCUGCCCUCCCUUAUACUUAUUUUUGUCCAGCUCCCAACAUCUCUCCCUCUACAGGUGAGGUACUGCGAACAGGCCCAUUUUACAGAGGAAGAAACUGAGCCCUAGAGAGGCUAAGCCAAUCUCAAGGUUGCCCUGCAGAUGAGUAAAGAGCCGGGACUCAGCCCUCACUCCACAGCACCAGCACUUGACUACAUGAUUCAGCUGGACCCAAAUCCCAGCUCUGCCCUGAGGACCUGGGGGACCAGAAGCAACUGGCUCAACGUAUUCAAGCCUCAAUCUUCUCAUCUGUAAAAUGGGGAUAACAACAUCUAACUCGUGGAUUUGUAGGAGCUGGUAGGUAAAGAUCUCCAAGUUACAUUUCAUAAGGAAAAGAAACAAGAUGCAAGCCACACAUACACCUGCUCCCCUUUAUUGGGUGAAAGGGAAGUGCGUGUCCAUGUACAUAUAUGUCAACAGUUUUCAGCAUGCUCAGAACACCCUUUGGGGGAAAUGCUGGGAGACAGGCCUCCUUUGGGGAGCAGGCUGGGUGGCAGAAAGAAGCCUUUCCUUUUCAUCUGAAUGCCCUUCUGGGAGAGCUGUCAUACAGAUUCGAGGAGCCGACGGCUAUAAAAGGCUCAGCACGUAGGAGGCACUUAAGAGACAUUGGCUAUUCUCAUACUGCACAAGUACAGCUUAAGAAAUUAAAUUAAACCUAACAGAUCUAAGGAUACGUGUAGCAUGUUUGAGAUACA